rnacentral:rRNA from 1 species
UGGGGAUGACGUCAAGUCAGCAUGGCCUUUAUAUCCUGGGCUACACACACGCUACAAUGGAAGGGACAAUAGGUUGCGAAGCCGCGAGGCGGAGCCAAUCCAGCAAAACUUCCCUCAGUUCAGAUUGCAGGCUGCAACCCGCCUGCAUGAAGUUGGAGUUGCUAGUAAACGCAGGUCAGCCAUACUGCGUUGAAUACGUUCCCGGGGGCUU